AUCCUUGAAGGACCACCAGUGGCGAAGGCGUCUCACCAGAACGGACCUGACGGCAAGGGACGAAAGCUAGGGGCACGAACCGGAUUAGAUACCCGGGUAGUCCUAGCCGUAAACGAUACUCGCUAGGUGUCGGCCACGGUGCGACCGUUGUCGGUGCCGUAGGGAAGCCGUGAAGCGAGCCACCUGGGAAGUACGGCCGCAAGGCUGAAAGUUAAAGGAAUUGGCGGGGGAGCACCACAACGGGUGGAGCUUGCGGUUUAAUUGGAUUCAACGCCGGAAAUCUUACCGGGACCGACAGCAAUAUGAAGGCCAGGCUGAAGACUUUGCCGGAUUAGCUGAGAGGUGGUGCAUGGCCGUCGUCAGUUCGUACUGUGAAGCAUCCUGUUAAGUCAGGUAACGAGCGAGACCCA
rnacentral:rRNA from 1 species